rnacentral:rRNA from 1 species
GACGAACGCUGGCGGCGUGCCUAAUACAUGCAAGUCGAGCGCAGGAAAUCGACGGAACCCUUCGGGGGGAAGUCGAUGGAAUGAGCGGCGGACGGGUGAGUAACACGUAAAGAACCUGCCCUCAGGUCUGGGAUAACCACGAGAAAUCGGGGCUAAUACCGGAUGGGUCAUCGGACCGCAUGGUCCGAGGAUGAAAGGCGCUUCGGCGUCGCCUGGGGAUGGCUUUGCGGUGCAUUAGCUAGUUGGUGGGGUAAUGGCCCACCAAGGCGACGAUGCAUAGCCGGCCUGAGAGGGUGAUCGGCCACACUGGGACUGAGACACGGCCCAGACUCCUACGGGAGGCAGCAGUAGGGAAUCUUCCACAAUGGACGAAAGUCUGAUGGAGCAACGCCGCGUGAACGAUGAAGGCCUUCGGGUCGUAAAGUUCUGUUGUAAGGGAAGAACAAGUGCCGCAGGCAAUGGCGGCACCUUGACGGUACCUUGCGAGAAAGCCACGGCUAACUACGUGCCAGCCGCCGCGGUAA